CCAGUCGAGAAACCUUCGCAAUGCGCGCAAGCGCGACGAGGGGAACUCGAGUGCCAUUGUCAUUUUUGAUGGUGGCUUUUCUUGAUCCUAAAAAGAUCAGGGAAUAAAAGCUGGGUAAGACGGGUGCCAGCCGCCGCGGUAAUACCCGCAGCUCAAGUGGUGGCCACUAUUAUUGAGCCUAAAGCGUCCGUAGCCGGUCUUGUAAAUCUCUGGGUAAAUCCUGCCGCUUAACGGUGGGAAUACUGGAGAGACUGCAAGACUGGGGAUCGGGUGAAGUGAGAGGUACUCCUGGGGUAGGGGUAAAAUCCUGUAAUCCUGGGGGGACGACCGGUGGCGAAGGCGUCUCACUAGAACGACUCCGACGGUGAGGGACGAAGGCUAGGGGAGCAAACCGGAUUAGAUACCCCCGUAGUCC
rnacentral:rRNA from 1 species